GGGAACUGAAAACACAUCGUACAGCAGAAACCAGCAAGUGUGGGAUGGCUGGUGAAGGGAAAUAUUAGAAAGACAACUCUCUGCAGAGCUUCACGGGCCAGUGGGAGUUUGGAGUUUGAGAAAGCAGUCUGGCUCCUGUGGACUUAACUGCCCCCCAGUGAAUGUGAGACAUCAGCACUCCCGUUCCUGUAUGAUAUGAAGUCUCCUCCAAAAAGAAAUCUUUAUUUAAGUAAAAGAGAGAAGAAAAAAGAGAGGAAGGAAGGAAGAUGGAAUUAAAGAAAAAACAUUGAUGGAAAAAAUAUUCAAGAUGUUGUUA